rnacentral:rRNA from 1 species
CCUACGGGUGGCAGCAGUGGGGAAUAUUGCACAAUGGGGGAAACCCUGAUGCAGCGACGCCGCGUGAGUGAAGAAGUAAUUCGUUAUGUAAAGCUCUAUCAGCAGGGAAGAAAAUGACGGUACCUGUGUAAGAAGCCCCGGCUAACUACGUGCCAGCAGCCGCGGUAAUACGGAGGGGGAACGCGUUAUCCGGAUUUACUGGGUGGAAAGGGAGCGUAGACGGCAGUGCAAGUCUGAAGGGAAAGGCGGGGGCUCAACCCCCGGACUGCUCUGGAAACUGUACGGCUGGAGUGCAGGAGAGGGGAGUAGAAUUCCGAGUGUAGCGGUGAAAUGCGUAGAGAUGAGGAGGAACACCAGUGGCGAAGGCGGCUGACUGGACUGUAACUGACGUUGAGGCUCGAAAGCGUGGGGAGCAAACAGGAUUAGAUACCCUUGUAGUC